rnacentral:lncRNA from 1 species
AUGUGCAUCCUUAUUCUUUGUAAUCCUCCCUCCUCAGCCCUUUGGCAGGCUCAGGCCGCUGCAGCCACCCCAAGGUAUCAGGUGGGCUCUCUACUGAGUUCACACCUGUGCCUUCACCUGUCCCAACCCGUUUCUUUCAAGGACUGUCAGGGGCACCAGGAGACAACCUACGCACCAUUAACAGAUAAACUUCAUAAGCAGCCAAGUCUUCAAAGUCAAAGUCUCUCCAUCCAAGACGAGGUGGAGCAGAAUAUACCAAUGGAAAAAUCUGUGAGAAGUAUCAUUGUGAAUUAUGGAAUCAAAAAGGAGCUUUUAAGUCUGAUUUGUGUGAUUUCCUGGCUGCCUUUCUGGAGAACGAGGAGCAUUAUCGUGGACCCUGAUGUGCUGUCAGUAAUCACCACGGUGGUUAAGAGAAUGUGCUGCAGUCACAAGACCAAGAUCAAGCACAAGCUCUACUUCUUACAAGCAACGUGCCCUUUGGGGAGCAUUUGAGGACCGUGAUAUGUAACCAUUUUCCUGAGGAUACGAUCUCUACUGCCAGCUUCCAUGAGCCACUAAGGGACAUGAGCUAUUACUUCAUAGAACAGACUCUUCUCAAUGCUAUUCUCUAGUCUUUUUUAUUGUUGUUGUUUUUCUUUGUUUUGCUUUCUCUCAAUCAUUCUGUAAUUUCAGUAAACUUCUGGAAAUAAUGAAACAAGACUCUAAGACAUGUUUUCACUAUAAGAUAAUUGUGGUUAUAUAAGUCUAGCUACCUAGAACGUAAAUUGCAUGCUUUCCAUCCAAUUUCUAUUCAAUU